GUCCACGCCGUAAACGAUGGGUGCUAGGUGUGGGGGUGUCGACUCCCUCCGUGCCGCAGCUAACGCAUUAAGCACCCCGCCUGGGGAGUACGGCCGCAAGGCUAAAACUCAAAGGAAUUGACGGGGGCCCGCACAAGCAGCGGAGCAUGUGGUUUAAUUCGACGCAACGCGAAGAACCUUACCUGGGCUUGACAUGCACGGGAAUGUCGUAGAAAUACGGCAGCCCUUCGGGGCUCGUGCACAGGUGGUGCAUGGCUGUCGU
rnacentral:rRNA from 1 species